GGUAUGACUCUUGACAAUGGAUUUCUCAGCUCUCGCAUCGAUGAACAACGUAGCAAAAUGCGAUACCUAGUGUGAAUUGUAGUAUCUUGCAAACCAUCGAGUCUUUAAAUGCAAGUUGCACCCGAGGCCACCAGGUCGAGGGCAUGUCUGCUUGGGCAUCACGC
rnacentral:rRNA from 1 species